AUUGAACGCUGGCGGCAUGCUUUACACAUGCAAGUCGAACGGCAGCGCGGGCUUCGGCCUGGCGGCGAGUGGCGAACGGGUGAGUAAUGCAUCGGAACGUGCCCAGUAGUGGGGGAUAGCCCGGCGAAAGCCGGAUUAAUACCGCAUACGACCUGAGGGUGAAAGCGGGGGACCGAAAGGCCUCGCGCUAUUGGAGCGGCCGAUGUCGGAUUAGCUAGUUGGUGGGGUAAAGGCUUACCAAGGCGACGAUCCGUAGCUGGUCUGAGAGGACGACCAGCCACACGGGACAGAGGAACGGGCCCGGCCUCCGAGGGGAGGCAGGGGGGGGGAUUUUUGGAAAAGGGGGGCAACCCUGAUCCAGCCUGGCCGGGGGGGGGAAGAGGGCCUGCGGGUUGUAAACCGUUUUUGUUGGGAAAAAAACCCUCUGGGCUAAUACCCCGGGGGGAUGACGGACCCGAAAGAAAAAGCACCGGCUAACUACGU
rnacentral:rRNA from 1 species